ACAUAUGUCUUGACUAAUUACGUGCCAGCAGUCGCGGCAAUACGUAAGAGACUAGUGUUAUUCAUCAUAAAUAGGUUUAAAGGGUACUUAGACGGGAAAAUUUGCCUUGAUUGGUACGAUUUUUCUAGAGUUUUAUGUGAAAAGGUAGUACUCAUGUGUGAAGAGAUAAAAUUUGUUGAUACCUAGGAGGACUGGUAAAGGCGAAGGCAACCUUUUAUGUAAAAACUGACGUUAAAGGACGAAGGCACAGGGCACGAACAGGAUUAGAUACCCUAAUAGUCUUUGCAGAGAAUUAUGAAUGCCAUAGGUUAGAUAGAGGUCAGGUACCUAAACGAUUAAAAUAUGGAGGCUUUUUUUGGAAAAUAAAAAAGAUACAUUUUUAUAGGUAACCGAGAUUUGUCUGUAAUUCUUCUAAACAUGGAAUUAUAAAGAUAGAUUUCUUUAGAGAUCUCGAACAUUUAGUCUAUAAACGAAAGUGUAAGCAUUUCACCUCAAGAGUAAUGUGGCAACACAGGAACUGAAAUCACUAGACCGUUUCUGACACCAGCAGUGAAGUAUGUUAUUUAAUUCGAUGAUCCACGAAAAACCUUACCACAAUUUGAAUAUUAAUAAUAAUAACAUUAUUAAUACAAGCGUUGCACGGCUGUCUUCAGUUAAUGUUGUGAAACUGUGGUUCGGUCCAUAAAAUUAACGAAAACCCUAGCUUUAUUUAUAAAAAUACAAAUUAAUUAUAAAGCAGUUCACCUUUAUAUUGUAUAUGA
rnacentral:rRNA from 1 species